rnacentral:lncRNA from 1 species
GUAUCUUCAUGUCGAGCCACGUGUGCCACGCCGAAUAAAACAUUUCAACGGGUUUUAUAUUAUUUUUAUUUCAUUCUUUUUAUGUGAUUUUCUUUGCUGCGUCUUCAACUUCUUCGUGUUUUUUGCUUUUCGUUUGUUGUUUUUUCUCAUGGUAUUUUGGUUCGAUUUGGAACUGUUUUUCCUGUUUGUGUAUUUAUAAUUUGUAUCCAGUUUUGCAUUAGGCUAUUUUUGCAUAUUAGAAAUACUCUCCCUGAGUGGACUUUUCAGUACAAAAAGCAAGUGAAAUUAUUUGCUUUGAGCGAUCUUUGCCAAAGAGCAUCCCAAUUUCGUUGUGUCCACUGGCUGACCAUAAUUUUGUUUUUUCAUUUUAUUUGUAUUUGUAUUUUGUUGUUGCCGGUGUUUCGUUUAAUUUGCAUGCAAAUAGAGCAAACGACACGGGGUCAGAGGCAGCCUCUAACCGACUCGAGUCUUUCUGGGUUGGCUUGGGCUGGCUGCCCGUUUGAGGUGUUUGUUUUAUUUUGACAUCUUUCGGCUUGGACCGGCUGUUAGCUUUCGUCGUUAAUUAAGGUUUAUGCACAAAUUAUGGCCGCAAAUUGCCAAUUAAAAUUAGAACGCGCAACAUAAAUUCAAGAGCAGCAAACAAAAGAAAAAUGUCCAACGACUGCCAGCGGCUGCAGUUUCAUUCGUGGCACAAAAUGUUGUCACUUGACUGGUUUCAUUUGGUUGCACAAUCCGUAAGUCCAAGUCUAACUGGUUUUCCCUCCAAUCAUUUAGUGUUGAAAACAUUGAUAAAUGCGCAAAAUGUGGGCGGACUUGCACAAGAUCAGAC